CAGUUGCUCAUACUCAAAAAUAAAGCUCAUUGAAAAACAAAAGGAGAGAAGUUUCAUUAAUUAUUUGGUGAUCAUGACUCAAAGAAAGGCUUCUAUCAUGAAAAGUUCGAAACGACAACGCGGAAAACCGAGACCAGGAAGAAAUCCUCCAGAAAUAAAUAGAGUUUCGAGAGUUAUGAGAAGCGUUGAGUUUAGACAAGAAAUUAUAAUAAAUUCUAAUAACUUGGUUGUUAUGGAAGAAAAGAAGACUGAAGUAAUAAUUUUGGACAAUUCCAAUCUUUUGAAAAAAUGAUGCUACUGUUCAUGUAAAUUUAUUAAGUCUCAUCAUGGCUAGGUUAUAUAUAUCACCUGUGUGUGCGGGGCUUUUCUUUUA